UCCUUGUCGGGUAAGUUCCGACCCGCACGAAAGGCGUAACGAUCAGGGUGCUGUCUCGGAGAGAGGCUCGGCGAAAUAGACAUGUCUGUGAAGAUGCGGACUACCUGCACCUGGACAGAAAGACCCUAUGAAGCUUUACUGUAUCUUGGAAUUGGGUUUGGGCUUUGCUUGCGCAGGAUAGGUGGGAGGCUUUGAAGAUGUUCUUGCGGGAACAUUGGAGCCAAUGGUGAGAUACCACUCUAGUAAGGCUAAAAUUCUAACUUCGAACCGUUAUCCGGUCGAGGAACAGUUUCAGGUGGGCAGUUUGACAGGGG
rnacentral:rRNA from 1 species